UACGUAGGGUCCGAGCGUUGUCCGGAAUUAUUGGGCGUAAAGGGCUCGUAGGCGGUCCGUCACGUCGGGAGUGAAAACUCAGGGCUCAACCCUGAGCGUGCUUCCGAUACGGGCGGACUAGAGGUAUGCAGGGGAGAACGGAAUUCCUGGUGUAGCGGUGGAAUGCGCAGAUAUCAGGAGGAACACCGGUGGUCGAAGGCGGAUCUCUGGGCCAUUACUGACGCUGAGGAGCGAAAGCGUGGGGAGCGAACAGG
rnacentral:rRNA from 1 species